AUGAAGCAGUGGCAGAGACCAUGCAGUCAGCCCCAGGAAUUCAGUACUCUAACACCCAGCUACCAGCUGUCAGCGCCUGCACCCCAGGAGCUGUCCAGAGGGAAGACAAAGGCGGCAGAUGGGAGAAAAAAAGGACACUUACUCAAAGUGCCACUUCCUGCUAACCACAAGACAAGGAGCUUCGGAGAGAAGAGAAAUCACCAAGGGCAUGUGGUAGGUAUGUGGACAGCCUGCUUUGAACCGGCCCUGCCUGGACUCACCCUGAGCCAGGCUCUCCCCUCCCUGCGUAGUCCAUCAGUGAGAGUGUUCAUACUUGCUCCUUCCCAGGGAGGAAACACCAAGGGACUGCAGCCCUCCCCUCUGCUGACUUUCCAACUCCCUCUGGGGAGGAUCAGAGCCAAUUCAUCAAGUGCCCCCCCAGCCCUUCCCUCUUGCCUCCUGUCCUCACCAGCUCAGAAGGUCCCUCAGGAGCAGCACUGCAUCCUCCCACCUCCUCAGCCCUCAGGGACCUCAGCCUACUAACCUAUCCCUCCUGGGCCUGAGUGAGCUGAGCUCUCUUCUGGCCUUCCUAUCAGCUCAAAUGCAGCCAACUCGCCCUCAUCAGAAAGCACACACAUAAAGUAAAAUUUAAAAAUUUCUGCUCCUCUCUCUCUCUCACUUACAUACACACCCCCACACGUGCCCACGCACACACACACCCACAAGUAAGAGCCAAAUUAUAAACUGGGGAAAGAUCUUUGCCACACAGAGACCCGACAAGGGUCAAAACCUUAUUGAUGAGCUCAAACCAAUCAAUAAGCAACAUACAAAGAGCCUGGAUGCUCAUACUCUGACCCAGGGAUUUCUUUUGUCUUUCUUUAUUUUUUUUUAAAUAAAGACGGGGUUUCACCAUGUUGGUCAGGCUGCUCUUGAACUCCCAACCUCAGGUGAUCCGCCCGCCUUGGCCUCCACAGUGCUUGGAUUACAGGCGUGAGCCACCACACCCGGCCCGACCCAGGGAUUUCCUUUCUAGGAAAUCCCAAGAAAUAUCUAGCUGGGUAUACAAAUAUACAGCCAUUCUAAACGUCCAUAUGCACUGAUUACCAGGUUAAUUCCUUCCCAGGAAAUAACUGGCAAUGUACAACUGUAUGUAUAAAUUCAAUGUAACAUUAUCUAAAAGAGCCAAAUAUAUUUUUUUAAAAGUAAAAAGAGAUCCAAGAAUUCAACACGAUAUAGCAAAAUGCAAGCAUUGAAAAGAUAAAAAAUGUUUGAGAGAUGAGGAAUGCUCAUGAAAUUAUACUAAUGGAAAAAUAUUUUAUAUAGACAAGAUAUUCAAAUAUGGAAAAAUGUGUUUUUAUUUUAUUAAGUUUUAUUUUUUAUUUAUUUUGGAGGUGGAGUCUUGCUGUCACCCAGGCUGGAGUGCAGUGGCACCAUCUCAGCUCACUGCAACCUCCACCUCUUAGAUUCAAGCCAUUAUCCUGCCUCAGCCUCCCCAGUAGCUGGGAUUACAGGCACCUGCCACCACGUCAGGUUAAUUUUUUGUAUUUUUGGGGUGAAAGGAUUUUACCAUAUUGGCUAGGCUGGUCUCAAACUCCUGACUUCAAGUGAUUUGCCCACCUCAGCCUCCCAAAGUGCUGGGAUUACAUGCGUGAGCCACGUUGCCCCGCUGGAAAAACAUGUUUUUAAAAGUCUGGCAAAAAAAGGCAAAUGUUAAUAGUCAUCCACAAGUAUGCAAACAGGAAUGGUUUUUCCUACUUCUUUUAGCUAAUUCAUUCAAACAACAUUCAGGAAGCACCUGCCAGGUGCCAGGCCUGACACUGGGCGUUGAGAUCUGGACAAGACUCCUUCCCUCCAGGAGCUUCCAAUCUGAAGGGAAGGAUGCAGUGAGCCAAUGAAAAUGCAGGGUGGCCGGGCGCGGUGGCUCAUGCCUGUAAUCCCAGCAGUUUGGGAGGCUGAGGCAGGUGGAUCACCUGAGGUCAGGAGUUCGAGACCAGCCUGGCCAACAUGGCAAAACCCCAUCUCUACUAAAAAUACAAAAACUGGCUGGGUGUGGUGGCUCACGCCUGUAAUCCCAGCACUUUGGGAGGCUGAGGUGGGUGGAUCACCUGAGGUCAGGAAUUCAAGACCAUCCUGGUCAACAUGGUGAAACCCCGUCUCUACUAAAAAUACAAAAAAAUUAGCUGGGCAUGGUGGCGCGCACCUGUAUUCCCAGCUACUUAGGAUGCUGAGGCAGGAGAAUUGCCUGAACCCAGGAGGUGGAGGUUGCAGUGAGCCAAGAUCGCGCCACUGCACUCCAGUCUGGGUAACAAGAGUGAAACUCCGUCUCAAAAAAAAAAAAAUUAGCUGGGCAUGGUGGUAUGUGCUUGUAAUCCCAGCAGGGCUAAGGCAGGAGGAUUGCUUGAACCUGGGAGGCGAAGGUGUGAGCUGAAAUUGUGCCAAUGCACUACAGCCUGGGCAACAGAGU
rnacentral:lncRNA from 1 species